rnacentral:rRNA from 1 species
AACGAACGCUGGCGGCAGGCUUAAAACAUGCAAGUCGAACGGAUGUAGCAAUACAUUAGUGGCGCACGGGUGAGUAACGCGUGGGAACGUGCCCUUCAGUACGGAAUAACAUCGGGAAACUGAUGCUAAUACCGUAUAAUGUCUUCGGACCAAAGAUUUAUCGCUGAAGGAUCGGCCCGCGUUGGAUUAGGUAGUUGGUGAGGUAACGGCUCACCAAGCCGACGAUCCAUAGCUGGUCUGAGAGGAUGAUCAGCCACACUGGGACUGAGACACGGCCCAGACUCCUACGGGAGGCAGCAGUGGGGAAUAUUGGACAAUGGGCGAAAGCCUGAUCCAGCAAUGCCGCGUGUGUGAAGAAGGCCUGCGGGUUGUAAAGCACUUUUGUUCGGGAAGAAACGGAUCGGUUAAUACCCGGUUCGGAUGACGGUACCGAAAGAAUAAGCACCGGCUAACUUCGUG